UAUUACAAUAGUGGACGUUGUUCGAAGGGGGAGGAAUGCACCUACAUCCACCAAGGAGAGAUUCUUUUAAAAAAAGAACUUUGCAGACAUUUUAAAAAGGCAGUUGUCUUAAAGGAAAAUUUUGUCCUUACUCACACGACACAAAAACCAUGCCUUGCAUUUUUUUCCAUCACUACCAUCACUGUACCCGUAAAGAUGACUGUUUGUAUUCACACGAACCACUUACCGAGGAGACGAGGUCUUUGCUUUUGAAAGCAGUUAACGAACAAGAAACUCAGCAGCAUAGUUUUGAGGAUUUACAGAAGAAGCGACAACUUUUUGAACUUAACAAGAAAAGCACUAAGAAAAAGGAUAGAGUGGACCCCCGUGCUGGGGUGUGGAGCGAACUGCUGGAUAACA